GAACCUGCGGAGGGAUCAUUACCGAGUUAUACAACUCAUCAACCCUGUGAACAUACCUAUAACGUUGCCUCGGCGGGAACAGACGGCCCCGUAACACGGGCCGCCCCCGCCAGAGGACCCCCUAACUCUGUUUCUAUAAUGUUUCUUCUGAGUAAACAAGCAAAUAAAUUAAAACUUUCAACAACGGAUCUCUUGGCUCUGGCAUCGAUGAAGAACGCAGCGAAAUGCGAUAAGUAAUGUGAAUUGCAGAAUUCAGUGAAUCAUCGAAUCUUUGAACGCACAUUGCGCCCGCCAGUAUUCUGGCGGGCAUGCCUGUUCGAGCGUCAUUACAACCCUCAGGCCCCCGGGCCUGGCGUUGGGGAUCGGCGGAAGCCCCCUGCGGGCACAACGCCGUCCCCCAAAUACAGUGGCGGUCCCGCCGCAGCUUCCAUUGCGUAGUAGCUAACACCUCGCAACUGGAGAGCGGCGCGGCCACGCCGUAAAACACCCAACUUCUGAAUGUUGACCUCGAAUCAGGUAGGAAUACCCGCUGAA
rnacentral:rRNA from 1 species